UCAGGAUGAACGCUAGCGACAGGCCUAACACAUGCAAGUCAGGGGCAGCACAAGGAGCAAUCUGAGGUGGCGACCGGCGCACGGGUGAGUAACACGUAUGCAACCUGCCUGUAGGCGGGGAAUAACCCGUUGAAAGGCGGACUAAUACCGCAUAAUACUAAAUUACUGCAUGGUAAUUUAUUUAAACAUUUAUGGCUUACAGAUGGGCAUGCGCAUGAUUAGCUAGUUGGAGAGGUAACGGCUCCCCAAGGCAACGAUCAUUAGGGGUUCUGAGAGGAAGGUCCCCCCACACUGGUACUGAGACACGGACCAGACUCCUACGGGAGGCAGCAGUGAGGAAUAUUGGUCAAUGGACGAGAGUCUGAACCAGCCAAGUCGCGUGCAGGAAGAAUGUCCUAUGGAUUGUAAACUGCUUUUGCAGGGGAAUAAAGUGCAUCACGUGUGAUGUUUUGUAUGUACUCUGCGAAUAAGGAUCGGCUAACUCCGUGCCAGCCGCGGC
rnacentral:rRNA from 1 species